GACGAACGCUGGCGGCAUGCCUAAUACAUGCAAGUCGAGCGGAUGGAUGGAAGCUUGCUUCCUGAAGUCAGCGGCGGACGGGUGAGUAACACGUGGGCAACCUGCCCCUAAGAUCGGGAUAACUUCGGGAAACCGGAGCUAAUACCGGAUAUGAUUACUUCUCACAUGAGAGGUAAUGGAAAGACGGUUUCGGCUGUAACUUAGGGAUGGGCCCGCGGCGCAUUAGCUAGUUGGUGAGGUAACGGCUCACCAAGGCAACGAUGCGUAGCCGACCUGAGAGGGUGAUCGGCCACACUGGGACUGAGACACGGCCCAGACUCCUACGGGAGGCAGCAGUAGGGAAUCUUCCGCAAUGGACGAAAGUCUGACGGAGCAACGCCGCGUGAGUGAAGAAGGUUUUCGGAUCGUAAAACUCUGUUGUUAGGGAAGAACAAGUACCAUAGUAACUGAUGGUACCUUGACGGUACCUAACCAGAAAGCCACGGCUAACUACGUGCAGCAGCCGCCGCAGUAACAC
rnacentral:rRNA from 1 species